AAAAUGCGAUACGUAAUGCGAAUUGCAGAAUUCAGUGAAUCAUCAAAUCUUUGAACGCAAAUUGCGCUCCCGGGAUAGGCCCGGGAGCACGCCUCUUUGAGUAUCGAUUCCACCACAACUCGAAAGCGUGCAUUUUCUCACGAACGUGCUGCGCGGACGGACAAUGAGCAUUCUCGUUUCUAUGCGAGACGCUUGAAAUGUAGCGAGUGACACGAUUCCAACAGUGAAAUCUACUUCUGUCUCUGGUGACGAGGAUAACUUCACAUUCAGUUGUGAACCCUUCCAUCGUGACUAUGGAGAUAGUGGGAAAUUUCUGGUUUGGUGAUCAAUGUGCGCACGGCACUCUCUGUCUAGCACGUCACUGUGCUCCGGCAGAGAACUUUUCUUUUGAACUAGAUCU
rnacentral:misc_RNA from 1 species